CCUACGGUAGGCAGCAGUCGAGAAUCAUUCACAAUGGGGGAAACCCUGAUGGUGCGACGCCGCGUGGGGGAAUGAAGGUCUUCGGAUUGUAAACCCCUGUCAUGUGGGAGCAAAUUAAAAAGAUAGUACCACAAGAGGAAGAGACGGCUAACUCUGUGACAGCAGCCGCGGUAAUACAGAGGGCUCAAGCGUUGUUCGGAAUCACUGGGCGUAAAGCGUGCGUAGGCUGUUUCGUAAGUCGUGUGUGAAAGGCGCGGGCUCAACCCGCGGACGGCACAUGAUACUGCGAGACUAGAGUAAUGGAGGGGGAACCGGAAUUCUCGGUGUAGCAGUGAAAUGCGUAGAUAUCGAGAGGAACACUCGUGGCGAAGGCGGGUUCCUGGACAUUAACUGACGCUGAGGCACGAAGGCCAGGGGAGCGAAAGGGAUUAGAUACCCCAGUAGUC
rnacentral:rRNA from 1 species